rnacentral:rRNA from 1 species
GACGAACGCUGGCGGCGUGCUUAACACAUGCAAGUCGAACGGAAAGGCCCUGCUUUUGUGGGGUGCUCGAGUGGCGAACAGGUGAGUAACACGUGAGUAACCUGCCCUUGACUUUGGGAUAACUUCAGGAAACUGGGGCUAAUACCGGAUAGGAGCUCCUGCUGCAUGGUGGGGGUUGGAAAGUUUCGGCGGUUGGGGAUGGACUCGCGGCUUAUCAGCUUGUUGGUGGGGUAGUGGCUUACCAAGGCUUUGACGGGUAGCCGGCCUGAGAGGGUGACCGGCCACAUUGGGACUGAGAUACGGCCCAGACUCCUACGGGAGGCAGCAGUGGGGAAUAUUGCACAAUGGGCGGGAGCCUGAUGCAGCAACGCCGCGUGCGGGAUGACGGCCUUCGGGUUGUAAACCGCUUUCGCCUGUGACGAAGCGUGAGUGACGGUAAUGGGUAAAGAAGCACCGGCUAACUACGUG